AAAAGAAAAAGAAAAAUUCUCACACUGAUAAACUCUCCCUUUCCCAAACUCAUCUUCAACCCCCUUGUACUGCCCGUUUAAUUCAGCGUCAUCAGAAAAUAACCCCAAAUGUCUUGCACUCCUGGCUUCCGCUGAUAGAGGAGAAAGGGCUUAAGACACUGAAAUAGUAAAAAAAAAAAAAAUAAAAAUUGUUAUAGGAAAUUUUCCCCAACAGGUAAGCACAAUAAAAAGUCAAAAGGAGGUAUGGGCUGAAGAAUGACUUCCUGCAAUGUGUAAUUUCAAGAAACCCUAAAACUUAAAGACAAUAGGAUCUGGAAGGACACACCAGUGGAAAUUGGCUAUCUCUGUGGACCAGGAAAUUUCAUCUACAAAAAGGUAUUCCAGAAAGAAAAUACAGUCACCAUGCUGGGAAGAAGGCUUUCAAGUGCGGCUGAUCACUCAUUUGGCUAUCAGACAUUAAAAAAAAAAUAAAACAAAAACC
rnacentral:lncRNA from 1 species